rnacentral:rRNA from 1 species
GAUGAACGCUAGCGGCAGGCCUAAUACAUGCAAGCUGAACGGUAAAUAUUGUAGCAAUACGAUAUGAGAGUAGCGUAAGGGUGCGUAACACGUAUGCAAUCUGCCCGCAACAGGAGGAUAGCUCCCCGAAAGGGGAAUUAAUACUCCAUAAUAUCACGAGAGGGCAUCUGAUUGUGAUUAAACUCCAAGGGGUUGCGGAUGAGCAUGCGUCUGAUUAGUUAGUUGGUGAGGUAACGGCUCACCAAGACGAUGAUCAGUAGGGGAACUGAGAGGUUGAUCCCCCACACUGGCACUGAGAUACGGGCCAGACUCCUACGGGAGGCAGCAGUAGGGAAUAUUGGUCAAUGGGUGAAAGCCUGAACCAGCCAUGCCGCGUGCAGGAAGACGGCCUUCUGGGUUGUAAACUGCUUUUGCCAGGGGAUAAAAUACCCAUGCGUGGGGAAUUGAAGGUACCUGGUGAAUAAGCCACGGCUAACUACGUGCCAGCCGCCGCCGUAAGAC